CAGUUUUGUGGCAGUGAAGUAUUGAUUUAUUAAUGUAAACAUUUACGCAUAAAAUAAUGGAUCAUUUUCCGCUAAUUCUUAUGUUCUCUACAAAUAAUACGAUCGAUCAUAUUCGGUCGAGUCGUCAUUGACUAACUGUGCAAGUAAAUGGAGAGCGUGAACUGGACCGAUCUUCCAAAGGAGCUCUGGCUAAUCAUCAGUUCAUCACUGAAUGCUUCCAAAGCCGUAUCGGAAUUCUCCAAUUCCGCAGCGUCUGCUCCUCAUGGCAUUCCUCUCUCCCUCCUUCCCAGCAAUUUCCCCUCCUCCUUUCCCCCUCAAGUUCUCCUCCCCCGGCGAAGACUCUCCCGGAAACCAUGCUUCAUUGUUCCAAUCAACAAUCUACCGCAUGGAGUCAUGCAUUGACGAGGAUAACUGCGGUUCUUCACCAUCAAACCUUUGUUCGAAGCCAUGGUUGGUGAAGUUUGAGGAGGACCCCAGUUCUGGUAUAAUGCGUUUACUAGAUCCGGUGACUAGUUCGCCUCUCAGGUAUUCUCCCAAUACUUCUUUAAAGGAAUUAAACUUAAUUAUUGGAGUAUCGGAUUGUAGAGCUACACAAGUCGUAUGGACUUAAAUUUGCCGAGAACAAUGUUACUAUUAAUUCUGUGCACAAAUUGGUAGUCCUCCCUCGUAACAAUUUGGACUUUGGUGAUGUUUGUGCUGUUUUUAUGAUUUAUAAUGAAGGCAAGCUGGGUUUUAUGAGAUUUGGAGAUGAUAAGUUGACCCAUGUGGAUGAGGAAAACUCCUACUAUGAUGAUAUUAUUGUGUACAAGGGUCAAUGCUAUGUGGUUGAUAAGUGGGGAACGAUUUCCUCUAUCAAUUCAGCUCUGGAGGUGAUCCAGUUUUCGCCGCUAUUGUCGUGUGGAUUUGGUGGGCAGAAGCAUUUGGUUGAGUCGUGUGGUGAUCUUUAUGUGGUCGAUCAGUACUAUGAGAGGGUGAGUGUUCGUCACGGCAGGGAGGACGAGUACAUUUUCGGGAAGUAUCACAAUUCGCGCUAUGAUUCUGAUGCAAUCGAUUUUAAAGUUUAGAAGCUGGAUCAAGAAUGGAGCAAAUGGGACAAUGUGAAAAACUUGGGUGAUCAUGUGUUUCUUCUGAGCAAAGAUGGGUCUUUCUCUGUCUCCACCAGAGAGUUUGAUGGAGUGAAGGGAAAUUGCAUCUUCUUCAUUGAACGAGUGUCGCCUACUGUAAGAGCAAGGUAUCACAGUCGUGUGUUCGAUUUCUCGGAUGGUCGAGCCACCGCCAACUUGGCUCAGCCCUGAUUUGAGUUCUUCUGCAUCUGAAUUUCUUCUUCUCUCAGCAAAAUCAACAUGCAGAGGCCCAAGCUACAAUGGUGCGAUCUCCCAAAGGAGCUCUGGCAGAUGAUCGGAAAAUUCCUCGAAACCCGCGUCGACGUUCUCCGAUUCCGCAGCGUCUGCUCUCUCUGGCGCUCCGCCGUCCGUCCUCUAGACCCAAUCGACUCUCCUCCUCUCCCCCUCGGAUUCCCUCACGCCGGCGAAGAGCCUCCCGCCGCCGUCUCCCAGACCACCGUCUACCGCCUGCAGUCGCUGAUCGCCGGCGAAGGUUCCGAUGGGUCGCUGCCGUUCUUGGUGAAGUUCGAGGAGGCCAAUUGCGGCGAAAUGCGUCUGCUUCAUCCGAUCACGAACUGGCAGCUCAGGUUAUCCCUCACUCCGACUAGAAAAGAAUUCAACUUGUUGGAUUAUAGGGUUGUGGAGUUGGUGAAAUUGUAUUCUCUGAAAUAUGCCUACACCAGAAUUGAUGUUACUUAUGUGAACAGAGUGGUGGUUUUGCCUGCUGAUCAUUUGAGUUUGGGGGAGGAUUUUGUGGUGUUUAUGAUUUAUAGAGGAGGGCAUUUGGCUGUUAUGAGGUAUGGGGAUGAGGGUUGGAUUCGUGUGGACGAAAACAACUCUCAUUAUGAUGAUCUCAUUGUGUACAAGGGUCAGUGCUAUGUUGUUGAUAAAUGGGGCACGAUAUCGUGGAUAAGUCAGGCGUUGCAGGUGAUUCAGUACUCGCCGCCCUUGUGUGGGUUUGGUGCACACAAGCAUUUGGUUGAGUGUUGUGGUGAUCUUUGUGUGGUCGACAGGUAUCUUGGUAGUGAGCCUCAGAGGACGUUCAACUACAUACAUUGUGAUGGGGAGGUGGUGGAUUUUAAGGUUUAUCGGCUGGAUGAGGAAUGGGCGACGUGGGUCAAUGUGACAAACUUGGGGGAUCAAGUGAUUAUUUUGAGCUAUGAUGGAGCUUUCUCGGUUUCAACCAGAGACUUUCCUGGGGUGAAGGGAAAUUGCAUUAUGUUCACUGAACAGGACUUUGGUCCUUUACCAGCUGUAAUUGGAAUGCCAUCCAGAAGUCAUCACCGUCGUGUGUUUGACUUACAGGAUGGUAGCAUGAGCAAGAUCGGCUAUUCUCAGUUGUUCCGGACACCCUCAAAUUGGCUCACUAAUUGAUGUCCGGCUGCAUCCUCUGAAUGACAACGAACCACAAGAGAAAUUAAAGGCCUUUCAAAACUUGAAACAUUACUAACAAGACUGAGGAGGUUUUCACAAUAGUAUGUCUGUGGUGAUGAUAUAGACACAUUGAGAUAUGAUGGGACAUGCUACGCUAAUCAGCCCCGCCCCCUGCCCCCUUUAAUGCUCUGGAAGUUGGUUGCUGCUCAAGACGUUAGUUGCCUUUCUUGGAGAAGAUGGAGGGUCCGAUUCUCAUGAAGAGUGGUCUGUAAAACUUCUACCGUAAAGUAGUGUGAAAAAUAGUAGUCUUGUUUAUCCAGUGUUUAAUGGUAGUUUUGUUAACCUUAUUCCAGUUGUAUAGAUACAGUUCAUGUAAGAUAUUUGAUCGUAAUCGAAGUUAUCGUUUUAUGUUAA